GAGAGAUGGCUGAGCUGGUCGAAGGCGCACGAUUGGAAAUCGUGUAGACCCCUAAAAGGUCUCGAGGGUUCGAAUCCCUCUCUCUCC
rnacentral:tRNA from 1 species